rnacentral:rRNA from 1 species
CAGUGUGACUCGUCACACUAUCAUUAACUGAAUCCAUAGGUUAAUGAGGCGAACCGGGGGAACUGAAACAUCUAAGUACCCCGAGGAAAAGAAAUCAACCGAGAUUCCCCCAGUAGCGGCGAGCGAACGGGGAGGAGCCCAGAGCCUGAAUCAGCAUGUGUGUUAGUGGAAGCGUCUGGAAAGGCGCGCGAUACAGGGUGACAGCCCCGUACACAAAAGCGCAUGUGCUGUGAGCUCGAUGAGUAGGGCGGGACACGUGGUAUCCUGUCUGAAUAUGGGGGGACCAUCCUCCAAGGCUAAAUACUCCUGACUGACCGAUAGUGAACCAGUACCGUGAGGGAAAGGCGAAAAGAACCCCGGCGAGGGGAGUGAAAAAGAACCUGAAACCGUGUACGUACAAGCAGUGGGAGCACAGGUUUACCUGUGUGACUGCGUACCUUUUGUAUAAUGGG